GAAAGAGAUCGGUCCCCAAAGUCCAUCAAGGACCAAGGUUGAGAGCUGCAAGUUUUCUCUAUCCCAACUACUCUCUUCCAUGCGUUGGCUACUUCCCAUGAGCAAACCAAAUGGAUCUAAAAGGGUUGGUUCAUAUUUUGCUUAUGGGAGGAUUUGAAUAGUUGGAGCUAUUUGAAUAUAUAUAUAUUUUUUUUUGCAGCUGCUAUUCGUAGCAUUUCAAUGCACCAUGUUAACCCUUUAAAGGUAUCCUAAUUCUUUAAUAGAAUGCUUGGCUUCCAUUGGGAAUAAAAUUGUUCAAUCUGUUUUUAGUUUACGAAUUUUUUUUUAAAUUUAAUAUUUUCAUUUCUAAGUUACUGAAAAUGAUAAAUGAUAAAACAUAUAUACUCAUUUCUUAUUAUAGAACAUUUGUUUUGUCAUAUGGUUGCUUGGUCUAAUUAUUAGUUCCCUAUUAUUUGUCAUAUGUCAUUUUAGCUACCAUUUAGUAGGUUUGUUUAUGUAGUGUUGAAUGAAUUUUUUUUUUUCUUCAGUUUCUUUAUGGAUAACUGAAAAGGAGUGCAGUUGGGCAUAAUUGUUUGUGUUUCUUUAUGGUUUUGAUUUCAUUUAUAUGAAUAUGAAAUGUGUUGAGAUAUAUGUUAUUAGAAUCAUACGAUUUGCGAUUCGAUUCAGUGGGUAAUCAAUAUGAACAGGUUGUAUGAGUCGCAAAUAGCCAUGAAUCUAGGUGAAUCGUGAAGUGAAUUGAUUCGAUUUGCUAAAAUCAAUGUUUGACUUUUUUUUUUAGUUUUUUAUUGUUGGAAAAGGGUUCAGACAACCUUUUUAAGGUCUUUAGGAUUACUAUAUGCCAUCUUUUGACUUUCUCCCUCCCUCUUUUGUUAGUUGUUCAUAUCUCUUUAUUCCCCUUAACAUUACAUCCACAAGUUAGUAGAGUUUUGUUAGUUUUAUUUAUAGAUUUAUUUAUUUUUGCUACUGUUGUUGAAAUAUAUAUAUAAAAUUAAGAUGAAUCUUCCUUUCGAAUUCUGCAAACCCUUCUGCUCCUUCAUCUAUGUUGGACACACCCACCUUUUAUUGUAGUAGUUUUUUUUUUCUUUUUUUGUUUGUUUGUUUGUUUUUUGUUGUUGUUGUUGUUGUUAUCCAAGGAAUUAGGUUUAAGUAUGAAAGAUCUUUUCUCCUAAAAAAUCAAUGCACAAUUUUUUGUUGAGUUGGAGUGUUGUAGAGAAAUUAUCAAUUCAUGUAAGGCUGAUGUUUUUAUUCUUAAUGCUUUGUACAUGUGACGGAGGCAUUGAAAUUUGGUGAGGAGAAUAGUUCUGAAGGCUCCAUCAAUAGA